GGUCACUGUCAGAAGCAGAGCUAGCUCCAGGAUAAUUAAUCAACGAAUUGAGACAGAGAGAUGGAUACAGAGUACGACUACAGAUCAUGAUGAUGAGUAUCACUCCAAGUCUCAACAAAGCAUACUCAAUGCUGGUAGAUCAGGAGAGUCAGAGAACUCUAGCAAACUUCACACAAACAGUUCAAAUCAGUAACAAUGGAGAUGGAGUUGUAUUGUUAAGCAAUGGUAGGUUCUCUCAUAAGGAUCUAGUGGAAGCUCCAAAGGCAAGAAGCCUCAAGUGAUCUGUGAAGUCUGUGGUUAUAAAGGUCAUACAAGAGACAACUGCUACAGAAUUGUUGGCUAUUCUCCAGACUGGAAGAGAAAAAGAAGGUUGUGAUAUCACAACACCAAUCUAAUCUUGGAGGUAAGACAAAUUUCUAUGGAAAUCAUGCUGAUGUGUUCACCAAAGGAGCAGGAAUAAGUGGGCCUACCUUUGGUCAUUUGCCACAACAUAUAGGCCAUCAAAUGCCAAUGCAGCAAUUUGUAUCACAAUGAUACACUCCAUCAUAUGAAUCUCAUAUGCCCAUGCAACAUCUAAGAAUCUUUCCUCAAAUGCAGCAAGUUGGACUUCAGCAAAGCAACAGAGAUUCACUAACCAAUCAAGUCAGACCUUACUUCACUUCUGAGCAAUACCAACGGGUGGUUGAUAUAGUGAACAAAGGACCUCCUGAUGGCUCUUCUUCUAGCACUGUUGCAGCAGGAUCUCUACAUUAGACAGGUGAAGGGGACCGGAAGGGAACAACAAGGCCUCUAUAUGUUGAAGGGCAGCUCAAUGUUUCAAUCUCAGUCUUGCUUCUCCUUUUAACAUCAGCCUAAUAACACAACUAGCCAACUCACUGGUUCAAAUUACAUGUGGCACCUAAGACUAGGACAUGCUCCGACUGAAGUACUAAGCAAACAUAAUGAUCUUACUUAGCUCAUAUUAUGUCUCCUCACUGCACUGUUUGUCCUUUAGCCAAAAUGCGUAAACUUCCCUUUUCUAUUAAUACUACUAGAUCCCAUUCAACAUCUGAGUUGUUACAUUGUGAUGUGUGGGGUCCAUAUAAAGUGCCCACUUAUGAUGAUAAGAGAUAUUUUGUAACUCUAGUAGAUGAUUACUCCAGGUUUACUUGGAUAUUUCUGACCUACUCUAAGUUUGAACUAUUGUAGUAUUGAGAAAUUUUAUCAAUAAAGUGUAGAAUAUGUUCUUUUCAUCUGUCAAAACUCUUAGAACUGAUAAUGGCUGUGAGUUUCUCAGUAAUGAAGUUCAGGGUCUUCUCAUUGAAUUUGGUAUUCAUCACCAAACCAUUUGUGUAUAUACACCCUAGUAGAAUAGAGUAGCUGACAGGAGACACAAAAUAAUUCUUGGAAUGGCCAGGUCACUAAGGCUUCAGUCAGCAAUACCCUUAAAGUUUUGGGGUGAAUGUGUAAGCACUACAGUCUAUUUGUUUAAUAGACUUCGAGGGUCAUUCAGCACAAAACUCCAUAUGAGUUAUUGUACUUACACUCUCCUAAUUUUUGAGCC